UGGGGAAUAUUGCACAAUGGGGGAAACCCUGAUGCAGCGACGCCGCGUGAGUGAAGACGGUCUUCGGAUUGUAAAGCUCUGUUGCAGAGGACGAAUAAUGACGGUACUCUGUGAGGAAGCCACGGCUAACUACGUGCCAGCAGCCGCGGUAAUACGUAGGUGGCAAGCGUUGUCCGGAAUUACUGGGUGUAAAGGGAGCGUAGGCGGGGAGCCAAGUUGGGUGUGAAAUACCGCAGCUUAACUGCGGGGCUGCACCCAAAACUGGUUCUCUUGAGUGAUGUAGAGGCAGGCGGAAUUCCUAGUGUAGCGGUGAAAUGCGUAGAUAUUAGGAGGAACACCAGUGGCGAAGGCGGCCUGCUGGGCAUUAACUGACGCUGAGGCUCGAAAGCGUGGGGAGCAAACA
rnacentral:rRNA from 1 species